GGAGCAGGCCGUGCGGCCGCGGGCGCUUGCGCUCGAGGAAAGUCCGGGCUCCGUAGGGCAGGGUGCUGGGUAACUCCCAGUGGGGGCGACCCCGAGGACAGGGCCACAGAAAGACACCGCCUCCGCAAGGAGGUAAGGGUGCAACGGUGCGGUAAGAGCGCACCAGCGGCCGGGCGACCGGCCGGCUCGGCAUACCCCACCCGGAGCAAGGUCACGUAGGGGGAGAUGAGGCGGCCCGCCGAUCCCCGGGUAGGCUGCUUGAGGUGCCGGGUAACCGGCAUCCGAGAGAGAUGGCCGCACUCGACAGAACCCGGCUUACAGGCCUGCUCCCAUG
rnacentral:RNase_P_RNA from 1 species